AUUUUAAAUUUUUUCUUAUGCCCACAUUUUGGCGUAAAUGCACGAAUACAUAGACAUAGUGAAUCACAAAAUCUCAGGAAAAUAGCUAAAAUGGCAAAAGAAAGAUCAGAAGCAUAAGCUCUAAGGCACGCAAACAGAGAACAACCAACACUAUCAAAAUGAAUGACAACUAGUUUUAGUUCAAGGAGAGCGCUUCAUGCGAGGAAU
ensembl:ncRNA lncRNA:CR45340 long non-coding RNA:CR45340